GGCCAGGUCAGAGCACUCAAACCUUCGGUCUGAAAAACCGUAGGUCGGCAGUUCGAUCCUGCCCCUGGCCACCA
rnacentral:tRNA from 2 species